UAAGGGGUGCUGCUCUAUUGGGCGGCUGAGAACAUACCCGAUAACCUGAUCCGGAUAAUGCCGGCGUAGGUAGGAUAA
rnacentral:ncRNA from 1 species